AAAUUAAAUGGCGGACCUAAGCGGGAGUUGGAGCGGUAUCGCUGACGGCAAAAUAAUCAUUUAAAUGGACAAACGGAGGCUGUCACUGAGGAUGGGAAAGCAAAAGACAAGCAGGGGGACAGAGGCCAAAGAGAGAUGAAUAGCUAGAUUAUUUGCUAAAGCCUUUUAGAGAUUGGCAUUCUGAAAAUAAAUGCAUUAAAUGAA